rnacentral:rRNA from 1 species
UACAGAGGUCCCAAGCGUUGUUCGGAUUUACUGGGCGUAAAGGGCGCGUAGGCGGCGCGGUAAGUCACUUGUGAAAAUCUCUGAGCUUAACUCAGAACGGCCAAGUGAUACUGCAGUGCUAGAGUGUGGAAGGGGCAAUCGGAAUUCCUGGUGUAGCGGUGGAAUGCGCAGAUAUCAGGAGGAACACCGGUGGCGAAGGCGGGGUCUCUGGGCAGGUAACUGACGCUGAGGAGCGAAAGCGUGGGGAGCGAACAGG